UACGUAGGGGGCGAGCGUUGUCCGGAUUUAUUGGGCGUAAAGAGCGUGUAGGCGGCCAGGUAGGUCUGCUGUGAAAACUCGAGGCUCAACCUCGAGACGUCGGCGGAAACCAUCUGGCUAGAGUCCGGAAGAGGAGAGUGGAAUUCCUGGUGUAGCGGUGAAAUGCGCAGAUAUCAGGAGGAACACCGAUUGCGAAGGCAGCUCGCUGGGACGUAACUGACGCUGAGACGCGAAAGCGUGGGGAGCAAACAGG
rnacentral:rRNA from 1 species